CAGCAGCCGCGGUAAUACGUAGGGUGCAAGCGUUAAUCGGAAUUACUGGGCGUAAAGCGUGCGCAGGCGGUUCGGAAAGAAAGAUGUGAAAUCCCAGAGCUUAACUUUGGAACUGCAUUUUUAACUACCGGGCUAGAGUGUGUCAGAGGGAGGUGGAAUUCCGCGUGUAGCAGUGAAAUGCGUAGAUAUGCGGAGGAACACCGAUGGCGAAGGCAGCCUCCUGGGAUAACACUGACGCUCAUGCACGAAAGCGUGGGGAGCAAACAGGAUUAGAUACCCUGGUAGUCCACGCCCUAAACGAUGUCAACUAGCUGUUGGGGCCUUCGGGCCUUGGUAGCGCAGCUAACGCGUGAAGUUGACCGCCUGGGGAGUACGGUCGCAAGAUUAAAACUUAAAGGAAAUGGCGGG
rnacentral:rRNA from 1 species